rnacentral:rRNA from 1 species
UACAGAGGGUGCAAACGUUGCUCGGAAUUAUUGGGCGUAAAGCGCGUGUAGGCGGCUUGUUAAGUCGGUUGUGAAAACCCAUGGCUCAACCAUGGAAGUGCGUCCGAAACUGGCAAGCUGGAGUCCCGAAGAGGAUGGCGGAAUUCCCAGUGUAGAGGUGAAAUUCGUAGAUAUUGGGAGGAACAUCGGUGGCGAAGGCGGCAUCCUGGACCGGCAUUGACGCUGAGGAGCGAAAGCCAGGGGAGCAAACGGG